rnacentral:tRNA from 1 species
GAAGGAAUAGCUCAAUUGGUAGGGUGCCUGCUUAGCAUGCCUGAGGUCCUGGGUUCAAUCCUCUGUACCUUUA